ACGGCCGCUUCGGGCUGUUAGAUUCAAGUCCUGACCGUUCGGACUUUUUGGACCCCAUUCAGCCAUCCGGGAAAACGGCUGCUUCGGGCUGGUAUAUUGAAG